rnacentral:rRNA from 1 species
UACAGAGGGGGCAAGCGUUGUUCGGAAUUACUGGGCGUAAAGGGCGCGUAGGCGGCUUAACAAGUCACUUGUGAAAUCUCCGGCUUAACUCGGAACGGCCAAGUGAAACUGUCAAGCUAGAGUGCAGAAGGGGCAAUCGGAAUUCUUGGUGUAGCGGUGAAAUGCGUAGAUAUCGAGAGGAACACCUGCGGCGAAGGCGGGUUGCUGGGCUGAUACUGACGCUGAGGCGCGAAAGCCAGGGGAGCGAACGGG